rnacentral:rRNA from 1 species
UUUGAUGGCGACCGGCGCACGGGUGAGUAACACGUAUCCAACCUGCCGAUGACUCGGGGAUAGCCUUUCGAAAGAAAGAUUAAUACCCGAUGGCAUAGUUCUUCCGCAUGGUAGAACUAUUAAAGAAUUUCGGUCAUCGAUGGGGAUGCGUUCCAUUAGGUUGUUGGCGGGGUAACGGCCCACCAAGCCUUCGAUGGAUAGGGGUUCUGAGAGGAAGGUCCCCCACAUUGGAACUGAGACACGGCCAA